AUGGUAGGAUAGAGGCCUACCAUGGUGGUAACGGGUAACGGGGUGUUAGGGCACGACACCGGAGAGGGAGCCUGAGAAACGGCUACCACAUCCAAGGAUGGCAGCAGGCGCGCAAAUUACCCAAUCCCGACACGGGGAGGUAGUGACAAUAAAUAACAAUACGGGGUUCUUUAGGAUCUCGUAAUUGGAAUGAGUACAAUUUAAAUCUCUUAACGAGGAACAAUUGGAGGGCAAGUCUGGUGCCAGCAGCCGCGGUAAUUCCAGCUCCAAUAGCGUAUAUUAAAGUUGUUGCAGUUAAAAAGCUCGUAGUUGAAUUUCGGGGUCAGUAGGUCGGUCGUGCCACUGGUAUGAACUGGUUUUACUGAUUCCUCCCUCUUGAAGAACUGUAAUGCCAUUAAUUUGGUGUUGCAGGGAGUCAGGACUGUUACUUUGAAAAAAUUAGAGUGUUUAAAGCAGGCUUUAGCUUGAAUACAUUAGCAUGGAAUAAUGAAAUAGGACGUUUGAUCCUAUUUUGUUGGUUUCUAGGAUUGACGUAAUGAUUAAUAGGGAUAGUUGGGGGCAUUAGUAUUCAAUUGUCAGAGGUGAAAUUCUUGGAUUUAUUGAAGACUAACUACUGCGAAAGCAUUUGCCAAGGAUGUUUUCAUUAAUCAAGAACGAAAGUUAGGGGAUCGAAGACGAUCAGAUACCGUCGUAGUCUUAACCAUAAACUAUGCCGACUAGGGAUCGGAUGAUGUUAAUUUUUUAAUGACUCAUUCGGCGCCUUACGGGAAACCAAAG
rnacentral:rRNA from 1 species